GACCCCUUAGCUCAGUGGUAGAGCGUGUGAUUCCAGCGGUUUGUGUAUGAGUUGAAUAUAUAACCUCAAGCUUCCACAAUGUCAAGUGUUCAACUCGCUUAGGAGUCA